rnacentral:lncRNA from 1 species
AAGGAAACUGAGUUUGUAGAAGCCAAGAGCAGAACGAGAGGCCUGGAGAGUAGACAGUAGAGGACAAGAGAAAGAGAGUUUGGGGAUGAACUCCCAUGCAUUUGCCUUCCACCCUGCAGACACAGCUGCCUUCCCUCCUCUGCUGAAGCGAUGCACCAAGGCCAUCUGGCAUCUCCAGACCACAAGCUCAAAAGGCUUGCGGGCCUUGACUGCAUUCCUCACCGAGGUGGAGCAACUAGAACUGUUAAAACAUCACAGUUUGUAAGCCAGUCUCUCCCGUUCCCACCUGUUUCUAAUCCCCGACCUCCCCACCAGAUUCCGUUUCCCCUUUGCUUCUACUCCCAACACGUGGGUGUUCCCUGAGGCCUCCUUCCCAGCCCUCAUUGUUUUCUGAAACUUCUUGCCCAGAGAGCGCAUCUGUAACUACAACUGCAGACAUCCCUAGAUUCACUUAGAACAGAUAGCACCUAACCCAUUUCUUAGGCUCCCACCCUUCAUGCCUAACGGCCUCUUGGACAUCGCUACUGCAACUAACCUAGACUAUCCACAGAUCUGACACACUCCUGAUUUUGAAAUGAUUUUCCCGUCAUUCCUGCAUGUAUCCCGAGUUAAAAUAGAAUUUAUCUUUGUCUCGCCCCCUUUCCCUCCUAGGCAUGGUAUUAGGAACAUUCAGGAUCCUCUUUUGACAAGGACUUCUGCUCUAACUCCUGUUGGACUCAGUGAACCACCUGCCUGUUUCUUACUUCUUCGAUCCAGUUUCUCUCUGGUGCUGCCUCCAGGUGGUGUCUCAAGGAGCAAUACUGAAUCUUCCUCCGCACUGUGAGCUAAGUCCCUUCAUCUGGCUUUCAAAGUCUCACAACUUUCAACCUCAGAGUGCGAGCACAUUGUCUGACUUCUCUCGAAGUGGUGAAACUCUCCCAUCCCGGCUGAAGCAAUCUAAUCAGCACUCCCCAAAUUCCAUGUUUCAUCUGUGUUAGAAUAUCUUUCCCACAAUCCCAUGUGCUCAGAUCCUACCAUGAUCCAAUUUGCAUUUCUCAGGGAAAUCUGAGUUACUAAGCAUGGUCUUACCAGCAGGGUAUUUUUAUACGGCAUCCCAAAGCACACUGAGGGGCGAGCAUGUAAGAGCUUCAAUGUAUGGCCUUUAGUACAUAGGUCUGUGAUUACUCUUGUAUGCAUGCGGUGUGAAGAAGGGGACCAGUUCCUUUGCAGGAUUUCCCUAGGUCUUUGAUGUCUGCCUUUCUCCAUUAUUCUCCAGUACCACCUUUGUUCUGAAUCAAGCGUUUCUGAUCAGGCAGGUUCUGGGUAUUUCCCAUCCACUAGAGAAUGCCUUCCAGCUCUUUUUUUCUUAUUGACAAUGUGUGGCAGUUUGCACUUCCACAGUACAUUUUCAAGUCAGCUUGUCAAGUUCCUAUCUCUCAAAAAGUUUCACUUCAGUUUUUGAUUAAUUUUAAAUCAUUGCAUUUUAAACUAAGCCUUUCCCCCUGUGAUGCUUGGGGUUUUUGCUUGAUAAAGCUUUCUUUUAUUCAUUUGGGACUUAAAUUGCUUUUUUUUUAAAUUUCUGAAGAUAAAAAUUUAAAUAUUGAUACAAAAAUUCUUUUAAUACCAGAACUGAUUGGUUAUAGAUGUCCUUUAUUUAUUGGUAUGUUGAAUUCUUACACCACAUUUCAACAUUUAUAUCUUGCAUUCUUUUUCUUCCAAUUAUCUUUAUAUUUCCCUUAAGAAUUCUUUUUUUCUCAUCAGUUAUUUAAAACUAUACACUUUACUGUUUUUGUUUUUGUUUUGUAUUUUUAUUGAUUAUUUGCAAAUUUCACAUCAUGAACCCUGAUCAUACUCACCUCUCAGCCCUCCCAGCUCUACCCCCUUUGUGACACUCCCUCCCCCCCAAAAGAAGAAAAUGUCCAAAUUGUGUUGCUCAUGUACUUUCUAGAACUUGUCAAACUCCCAGUGGCCAGAUCCCCACCAGAACCCAUCAGUUGUGAGUAGCUACACUUCAUAAUUCUCUUUGAUGGCUUUCUGUCUAGGCUAUUACUUGGCGGGUGGUGGGGUGCAAAACUAUAUAACUUAAUCUUAUACUUUUAAUUGGUAUCUUUCUGUUAUUGAUUUCUAGUUUCAGUGUAGAAAUUAAGCUGGAAAAUGUGCUCAGUAAAAUUUCUUGGAAAUGCUUUGU